CGGGAAUGCUCGAAUUUUUCUAAAACCGCGUUCGUUCGAUAUAAAUAAUUUUUUUUUUUUUUUAAUGUAAUUUUUUUUAUCAUUAGGUGUGUUUUCGAAAUUUUUUAAAUCGCGUGUGUUUUUUUUUAAUCGACAGAAGGAAAGAUGUAGAAAAAGCAUGGCGAUGAUCCGCGAUUGAUAAAAGAACAACGAAAAAUGGACCCAUAAGCGGACAUCUCAAAAGUGUGAAGGGGAAUUCCACGUGUGGCGUCAAGUGACGAGAGGAAGUUGAGAUCAAGUUGCAUCCCACGCAUCCUGUCAAGUGAUGCUCCAAAAUUGAAAAGAGAUCAGAUAAAUAAUUGGCUCAGAAGGAUAUAAUACAGGUAGGUCCCUUUGAUCCUUAAGGGUCCUUUGCACAAGGACUCCACAACAUAUAAAUAUAUAUAUAUAUAAGGACACUUGAUACAUUUCAAGUGCUUCUUGAAUUACAAAAAGUUCCCCUCAGCUAAUGAGGAUAAUUUUUGGUAAAAUGAAUUAUAUAUGUUUCAAAUAAAUUUAUUUACUGUAACUUUAUCUUAAAUGAAUAUGAUAAAAGAAAACUUUGCAAAUGAAGAUAAAAAUUAUGUUUGCAAAAUGAUGAU